UCCAUUAAUUUCUACGAGCGUUAGGGCUAAUGCUAGCACCUGGCAUAUCACUAAUCAAAGUAUGUCUGGCACCUCUAAUAUAGAAGAAGGUGGCAGAUUGGAGGCUGUAGGAAAUUACUAGCCUACUUCAGUUUGGUGAAAAGAAACUUCAAGUUUGAUUACAAAGCAGGUUUACCAUAGCUGUCAACCCUCACGCUUUCGGCGUGAGACACGAAUUUGCCUGUUUUCACACGCACAUGCAAAUGCGUGUGUCUCACGCCGAAAGCGUGAGAGUUGGCAGCUAUGGGUUUACUGAGUUAGCUGCUUAGUGAAACUCUAGUUUUGUGAAACAGUCCCCGGAUCCUUCAACCUUGGCUCAGACAACUAAAAGAAAUAAACCAAAGUAAUGACCUGAAGGCAAAGAAAGCAGAAAGCAAUCUUCGGCAGAACAGGACAAUAAUUAAAAUGUCACGUUUCAGGUCUGUUUUGUCAUGUUUUAUGUUUAUUAAUUUUGUCUUUUGCUCUGUUUGUUUGUUUCUUUAUUCUCAAAAAAAAAAAAAAAGGCCCUCGUCCUUAUCUUUGUUGUACAGGUAGCAGUUGAAAUUGUACUUCCCUCUAGCGUCUUUCAGCGAACUUAUCCCUGGUUAUGGGUAUGCACUUUGUUGUACGUCGCUCUGGAUAAGAGCGUCUGCCAAAUGCCAAUAAUGUAAUGUAAUGUAAUGUCUUAGUCACGUAUUGUCUUAUCAUGUAUUAUGUUAGUCUAGGUUCGUCAUGUUGUUUAGUUUAUUUCUUGUUACGAUUUAUUUUCUCGUCAUGUCUAGUUAUGUUUCGUUACAAUUAUAUUCCCUUGUUAUGUUGAGUGGUUAUCGUCUUAGUUUCGUUUUGUGUUAUGUUUUUAUUUAUGUUUAUUGUUACGUAGACUGGUUGCUGUUUAAACAUUUUUACAUGUCUUUCCGCAAACCUUACGUUCCGCCUUUUCUCUCUCUCUCUCUCUUUCUGUCAAUCACACCCUAAUUGUUUCCAUUUGUCUAUUUACUAAAACUACUAACGCUAUAUCAGGAUUGGGUGGAACUAACAAACUAAUUAUGUGUUCAUGUUGCGCCUAAGAGUCGGCGUUCUUCUCUGUUCCAAUGUUCCAAUAUGUUCCAAUAUUGGAGCCAAUCACAGGCCGUCCCUUGUUCCAAUUUCCAACUUUGACGAACUUUGACAAAGCUGCUCGGCCAAUCGGACGGGCGGAUUUGUUCCAAAUUCGUCACGUGUUUGUUCCAAUUUCAUCACGUGUUUAGCCGGCCAAUUGUAGCUCUUCCUCCGUUUUGACUCAAAUCGGCGCGUCGGCCAUUGCUCUCGCAUCGGUGAAAGGUAAGCUUUCAAUGCGUUUUCUAAUGAAAUUUGUAUUAAAAUCGGAAGAAUGAUUUAUAUUUUCGUGUUCGCGCUGGUCAGAGCGGGCUAGCCGGUUGGCUUUCGAGCCGUUUUUCGGGCUGUUUAAUACGUUUGUAUGACUUAAACGGCACCGAACUCGUUAACGUUAAUACACAGAAUGAAUGAACUUUCCGGGCGUAUAAACACAUUAUGUAUGUAUUUUUACAUUAGAAAUAUAUCGUAAGACAAAGCUGGCAUGUCGCACGUUUCGUUUUAAUUAUAAAACGUAAUAUUAGUUUGUUUGCCAGGUGAAUAGCUGCUUUGGCAAGCUAGCUACAGACCGAACCGAAACCAUACAGUAGAAUCGGUGUGUACAGUACGAGUAAUGUUUUGACUCCCCAGUGUAAUAAUUUCUUUUAAACGACCGAACCGAAACCAUACAGUAGAAUCGGUGUGUACAGUACGAGUAAUGUUUUGACUCCCCAGUGUAAUAAUUUCUUUCGAAAUGUUUAAGAAAUGUUUUGGCAUAAACGACAACUGUCAGUCAGUAAUGGCAUAUCACAAAAUAUAUCACAAUUUAAAGCAUACUUUAUGUAACUUCCCAUAUUCUCAAACCUUGUGAUUUGUUUGCAUCUUUAUUUUGACUGUGUUUUAUAAAGUAUUGUCAGUUUGGUAUAAUACAAUUUGAAUUAACUGUUGUUUCAUUGUAAUAUUUAUCAGAGAAAGAAGGAUCUCCUUGAAAUAGGAAUGGUAGGUUUGGGUAAGAGAUUCAAUGUGUUUAUGCAUGCUUUGUACCUUUGUCCUGUCAUCCAUCCAUCGCUGCCUAGCUGUGGCUUUCACCAUGCGCGUAACUGCAACUUUCGCAUUUCCCUGUCUUAGGCUCAUCUUUCUUUUUGAUCACACCCAUCUUCUCCUGCACCCCCUGGUAUACUGGCACUGGGCAAAUUUAUGGCAUUACUGUAGAUGCACUUUCUAAUGUACAUCACUGACAACCAUAAUAACUAUGGCACUUAUUUGGGCUGAGCUGCUUGUAAUCAUAGUAAAAAAGCAUCUCAUUUCAAUGCUUGAUUGACACAAACACAUAGGUUUUUGUUUUAAAAUUAUUUUUAUUUUUUUGGUACGUCUCUGCAAAGGCGAUCCUGCUGUCGUAGAGGUCCCACACCCGCUCCCCCCGCCUCCACCGCCCACCACUCCCCCCGCCUCCACCUCCCACCACUCCCCCCGCCUCCACCUCCCACCACCGCCGGCGGAGGAGAAGAGGAGGGACGGGCUGAAGCCACAGCCUCUUUGAGCUGAACCAGCGCACUCUCUCCCAGUGGUACUCCCGGAGGCAGAAGGCGUGGGAGAGAGCUGUGCUUCAGCAGGACGUGGUGGGUACCCGCAUCCCUGACAGCGUGAGGAGAAGUACAUCUGCCUGUGAUCUGCCCUCUACUUGGACCGGUACCUUGGCGAGGUGUAGAGGCUUGCGUGUGCUGAAGACCCUCAGAGCUACAUUGCCUGCAGUCCUUGGACUGCUGGUCUGAGGUGAAGCACCAGACAAAAGCCGGUCCUGCAAUGGGAACAUUGAAAUGUCAAAAGUGUGCCCUUGGCUGCAUUUGUAAUGGACGCUUUUUUAUAUGGACACAGUAAAGUUCCCAGUGGUGUGCAUCAAUGUUUCCCAUUUUGUAUAGUGCUGUUACUUUAUGUCUAAAGUUCAGCAUAAUUAAGUACGUUUUUAAAACACAACUGUAUUACAGUGAAGCAGCUUGUGCAUCAAUGUUUGGAUCAUUGCGUAUUGCAAUCAUUUAAGGAAAUGCUUGUGAAAGGAAAUGCUUGUCUUUUGUUUCUGAAUUUAACAAUACUUGAUUUGAGUCUUUGAAAGUGAGAACAAUUUCCUUCCUUCUCCUGCAUACAAGUCAAAGCUUUUAAUGUCCUUCCUUCUCCUACAUCACUGACUGUCUAGACAGGCAGGCAGGCAGGCAGUCAGUCAGUCAGUACCAAGCCAAUUAUCCCUGCCAAAUGUGUUUUGGAUUGUGUACUGCAAUCGCUGUUUUAUCUAACAAAAGUAACUAAAAAAGUCAUCAAUAGAGUCAGUGAAAAGCAAACUUUGUCUUUUUAAAUUUUGUCUUUUUAUUUCAGUUAGUUAAUACAUUGCAUUGAUGUUCACAAUUACAACAUCUCUGUAUAAUUAAUUUCUGCUGCAGAAAUCAAUGUGUUGUAUAAGAAUAAAACAUGCACAGAAAGCCAA